AAAUUUAUUCUGUGAUGUUCGGCUGUAUUUUCUUCGGAUAUCAAGGCUGAGCUGAUCUUCACGAUGCAGCACGAGAAGAUUUCUAACGAGGAGGAGUCAUCCUAUGAGGCCUACGCUUUUCUGGGAUCACCGUGAAACGAGCCCAAGGGUAUAGACACCGAAUAUACCUGUACGGUAUGUCGGUGAGGUUGGACUGGCUGUGGGAAUGCGGUACACGAGGAGCAGUCGCGAUGUCCCUGACUCCGCAAAUGGCCAGCUCGUGAGCCGAUCCGGAAAGGCUCCGA